ACCCGCUGAACUUAAGCAUAUCAAUAAGCGGAGGAAAAGAAACCAACAGGGAUUACCUCAGUAACGGCGAGUGAAGCGGUAAGAGCUCAAAUUUUAAAUCUGCCUUUUAGGUCGAGUUGUAAUUUGUAGAGGAACGUUCGGUUGCAUCAAGGUCCGAGUCUUCUGGAAGGGAGCGCCGAUGAGGGUGAGAGCCCCGUACGACCGUCGAUAAGACCGGGUGAACGUCCUUCGAAGAGUCGAGUUGUUUGGGAAUGCAGCUCAAAGCGGGUGGUAAAUUCCAUCUAAAGCUAAAUAUUGGCCAGAGACCGAUAGCGCACAAGUAGAGUGAUCGAAAGAUGAAAAGCACUUUGGAAAGAGAGUGAAACAGUACGUGAAAUUGCUGAAAGGGAAGCGCUCGCGAUCAGACUUGAUAUUUCAGUUCAAGGGUUCUUCUGGACCUGGCACUUCUGUUGUAUCAGGCCAACAUCAGUUCGAGCGGUCGGAUAAAGGUUUAGGGAACGUGGCUCUUCGGAGUGUUAUAGCCCUUUUCGUAAUACGGCCAGUUCGGACUGAGGCAUGCCUUUUGUAGGAUGUUGGCGUAAUGGUUGCAAGCGGCCCGUCUUGAAACACGG
rnacentral:rRNA from 1 species